AGACCUCCAUCUUAUGGGACUUUGUUCUUCAGUAGGCAGGACAGAGGGAUGCCUGGGGGCCUCUUGUCCACCAGCUACUGUCCUUCCAUGGGGGUCAGUUCCCGUCACUGGGAACCUUCCCAACCUCUUAGGUGAAUGGUGGAGAAGAACAAGAUCACUGUGCGCUUGAGCGGUCAGCCAGGUUCUGCUCACAUGUACCUUUAAGGUGUGUAUAAUUUAAAUUCACUCCCAAAGUGACCAACUGUGAAACUGCAGCGUUUCCACAGAGUCCAGAAGUACCUGUGUUACUAUGCUACCUGUGAAGGCAUCCAGGAUCUUGAGGGAGGUGGGACAGGUGGCGAGAUCUCUGGGGCAGCAGGGAUCCAGGGGGCUAGGCUGAAAUGGAAGCCUAUGAGGAGGGGCAUCCUGGGCACUGCUUCUCAGAACCAGAAGCCCAGGAGCCAGACAGGGAGGCUUAUAAUCCCUGGCUCUAUAAGCACCUUAACUCACCCUUCACCUACCUGGAGGACUUCCCAGGCUUGGUGCAUUUCAUCUACGUGGACCGAACAACUGGGCAGAUGGUGGCACCUUCCCUUAGCAGCAGUGAAAAGACUUCAUCAGAAUUGGGCAAGGGGCCCCUGGCCGCCUUCGUCAAAGCCAAGGUCUGGGCCCUGGUCCGGCUGGCGCGCCGAUACCUGCAGAAGGGCUACACUACUCUGCUGUUCCACGAGGGGGACUUCUGCUGCUCCUACUUCCUGUGGUUUGAGAACGAUAUGGGCUACAAGCUGCAGAUGAUUGAGGUGCCUGUCCUCUCCGAUGACUCAGUCCCCAUUGGUGUGCUGGGAGGUGACUACUACAGGAAGCUCCUUCGCUACUACAGCAAGAGCCACCCCACGGAGGCCAUCAGGUGCUACGAGCUGCUGGCCCUGCACCUGUCAGUCAUCCCCACCAACCUGCUGGUGCAACAGGCCAGCCAGCUCGCCCGGCGCCUGGGGGAGGCCUCCCGUGUGCCCCUGCCCUAGGCCAGAUUGCAGGCUGCUGCCAGGGCACCUGUUCUGCAGCCAUCCCUGCUUGCAAAAGUGCCCCCUCCCCGUAGCAGAAACUUUUCUUCUGUCCCCAGUAGCCUCCUGAGGAUGCGAGGAGGCCCCAAGGUUUAUCACACCCCACUUGGACCGCCUCCACACGGGGUGGUGAACAAACUCCUAAAUCCUGCCCUCUGGAGGCAGAGGCUUUGGGCUUCCUCUUUAAAACAGUGGUGACUGUGAGGUCAGAGACGGCAGCAGCUCCUCUUUCAGAGCUGCAUCCCCACUUGUCCCCAGAAGAGAGGAAGACCCUAAUGCUCAGACUGUCUGAAGACCCCCCUCUGCCUCUGCUGUUCUGAGCAGAAAAGCCUGUUUUCUGCCCCCAGAUAAUAGGUGCGCCAUUGGCUGGUUGGGUUCCAGCUCUGCAGCCUCGUCUGCAACUCGGGGCAUUUUCAAUGCUGUUCCCCCACAUUUCAAGUAAUGACACCCCCCUCAGGUGGCUGGGAGGGUCACCCAGCACAUGAUAGGUGCUUAAUAAAUGUCAGUUGUUGUCAUCCAGCAUGUCAGUGCUUCAGGACCCUUUUGUCAAUACUGAGAAACCUUGCUAGGGUCUGGCCCCUCCAUGCCGGGCUUGCUUCUCCCUAGGGCUGUAGUUCUCGGCUCCAGACCCUGGCCCAGAGAUUCAGAUUCAUGUGCUCGGUGUAAAGUCAAGACUGAUGAUUCUAAAAGCUCCUCAGGUAAUCUGGUGUUCCCCAGACUGAACCCACUUCCCAGGGGUACAGCCCCUCUCUUCUAACCAGAGAUUCUUACCACAGGACAGACACCAAGAUGAACACUGGGACACAGGUGUGGGCUCCUCAGGCAAAGAGGAGGCAUUGGAUUGAGAGAGGUGGCAGGGUAGAAAUAAGCAUCCACCCCAGAAGCAAAGGACACCCUGGUGUGCGGGCAGGAGCCCAGCCUUCUGCAUCUCAGUCUUGGGCAGAAACUCUGUGAAGGACACUGGUCUUUCCCUUGCAGGGAACUGCUUUGGGGAGGACAGAGGCACUGAGGGUUAGAGUCCUUAUGAGGACAGUGUCCCAGAGACAACCUGAUCUGUAUUCCUUAAUAUCGUGAUUUUAUGGGUGAGAAUUAAAAAGAAAAAUAUCAAAUGUGGAAAAUACAGAAGAGCACAAAGGAAAAAGAACGUAGCCUAUAAGCCCACCACUGUAUAAGACACCUACUUUUAAAAAAAUUAAUGUUUUCCCUUGAUUUUUAGCCUGUACAUGAUGUGAAGAAUCUGGUUGAGCUAAUCUGCUGACUGUUCUGUACAAUCAUCCACAGGGGAUUGGCUCCAGGACUCCUUGACAACAGGUGCACAGGCAGCCUAUCAAAAUCUGCAGACGUUCAAGUUCCUAAAUAAAAUGAUGCAGUAUUGGCUGGU
ensembl:lincRNA